CCCUUAGAUGUUCGGGGCCGCACGCGCGCUACACUGGCGGAAUCAGCGGGUAUUUCUCCCUUGGCCGGAAGGUCUGGGUAAUCCGCUGAACCUCCUCCGUGAUGGGGAUAGGGAAUUGCAAUUAUUUCCCUUGAACGAGGAAUUCCCAGUAAGCGCGAGUCAUCAGCUCGCGUUGAUUACGUCCCUGCCCUUUGUACACACCGCCCGUCGCUCCUACCGAUUGAGUGCUCAGGUGAAUAAUUCGGACUGCAGCAAUGUUCGGAUCCCGAACGUUGCCGCGGAAAGUUUAGUGAACCUUAUCACUUAGAGGAAGGAGAAGUCGUAACA
rnacentral:rRNA from 1 species